AUGGGCGCAAGCCUGAUGCAGCCAUGCCGCGUGUGUGAAGAAGGCCUUCGGGUUGUAAAGCACUUUCAGUUGUGAGGAAAGGUUAGUAGUUAAUACCUGCUAGCUGUGACGUUAACAACAGAAGAAGCACCGGCUAACUCCGUGCCAGCAGCCGCGGUAAUACGGAGGGUGCGAGCGUUAAUCGGAAUUACUGGGCGUAAAGCGUACGCAGGCGGUUUGUUAAGCGAGAUGUGAAAGCCCCGGGCUCAACCUGGGAACUGCAUUUCGAACUGGCAAACUAGAGUGUGAUAGAGGGUGGUAGAAUUUCAGGUGUAGCGGUGAAAUGCGUAGAGAUCUGAAGGAAUACCGAUGGCGAAGGCAGCCACCUGGGUCAACACUGACGCUCAUGUACGAAAGCGUGGGGAGCAAACGGGAUUAGAUACCCCGGUAGUCCACGCCGUAAACGAUGUCUACUAGGAGUUCGGUUUUUCGGAACUGUCUUCCAAAGCUAACGCAUUAAGUAGACCGCCUGGGGAGUACGGCCGC
rnacentral:rRNA from 1 species